UAGGUCCUAACUGUUGUUAUACAAUUAAAUCCUCUAGGUAUCAUAUCCAUAGGAUACCAUAAGGACUCUGUAUAGAUUUCUGCAUUUUUCACCUGUAUUGUGACUUCUGAGGUCCUCCAUGUGUGCAUGAAGUUGCUGAUUCCUCUUUUUUUCAUACGAAUGCUUCCCUUUUGAGCUCUUCGUAAUCUGAGUUACCAGAUUCACGAGACGCACCCCUGAUGAAGUCUAGUUCCUAGACGAAACGCGUUGGGAAUGUAUUUCUUGUUGAUGUUAUCUCCGAAUAUUUAAUGAGGAAGAAUAAGGAUACAAAAGAAAGGUUGCCUUCUUUCCUCCAUUUCCCAUUGAUGGAUUUCUGUAGGAGAAACUACAUCAUA